rnacentral:rRNA from 1 species
UACGGAGGGGGCUAGCGUUGUUCGGAAUUACUGGGCGUAAAGCGCACGUAGGCGGCUUUGUAAGUUAGAGGUGGAAGCCCGGGGCUCAACUCCGGAAUUGCCUUUAAGACUGCAUCGCUAGAAUCCAGGAGAGGUGAGUGGAAUUCCGAGUGUAGAGGUGAAAUUCGUAGAUAUUCGGAAGAACACCAGUGGCGAAGGCGGCUCACUGGACUGGUAUUGACGCUGAGGUGCGAAAGCGUGGGGAGCAAACAGG